GCUGAUAGUGACACCUGAGCAGCAUAAACAGUUUCUGGGCUUUAGCACAGUCUGUUAUUGGUGCAGAAAGAUGGAGUUUGCUAUAGGCAAAAUGUUUUUUCUUUUUUCGUGCUGUUUUGCCUCUGGGUCUGGGUGAUGCUGCUUUGGUCAGUGGGACCCUCUGUCCCAAACUCUGCUGUGUUCCACCUUGGUGUGGAACACUUUGGUUUUUGUAGGAACCCUGCUGGCCAUGAGGCUGGGCCAUAUCCCUGUGUGUUCUGGAGCUGAGAGCUGCCCUUGGGAUGUUUGGUUUCUGCCACAGUCACUGUGUGUCUCUUUGGAGCAAGACACUGAAGUGCCUCAAAAAUACAGGCCUCCGUGAUCCGUAUCAGAGAAGUGUCUCCCAAUCACCAGAGUGAUGACAAACCCUGGGAGCAGCCCGUGCUGCAGAGCUGGGAGACUUUUCCAACAGGCUGGAGCUGCUGCAUUCCAAACAGACGUGGAGAAAAUGUGUUCUCCCUUUUGUGCCUGUAUGCUGAAAAACUGAAACUUUCCCCCUGAACUCAAUGUCGUUCUGCUGCCUCAGGCAACUACUAGAGUUUCUUUUCAUCUAUUUAAGGACCUCUUCCCAUCACUCUUACCAGAAAUUUUUAUAAGAGAGGGUCUGUUUUCAUCUGAGAGACGGUGCUCACUCCUCAUUCCCGCUUCAGCUCAGAAUGGUCCAGUGAAAUCACUAUCAUUUCUGCAGAAAUUUAGAUUAGACUCCACAAAGCAAACACAGACCCCUACGGCAGCAGUGGGCUUGCCUGUGAAGUUUAAAACCUCCAGCACUUUCCCAGCACAACCUUUUGUGCAGGAUAACCUGGACCUUCCCUGCAAGGAGGCUGAUGGGAAGAACAGUUCUAAAAAUGCACACAUGAGCUUUGCCACGGAGCUGUGAGAGCUGUGGGUCAGGGGGUGUGUGCCCCACAGCUGGGGACACUUUGCAGGCUGCUAAUUCCCUCCUGUCAGCCUUUCUAGCAGUUUCUGAGCCACAAUCAGAGUGGUCCCCCUGUCGUUUCCCCAGUCUCCUACAGGGUGAAGGCAAUUAGAUGGGAAUAAUUCAUUUUGUUGGUACCAAAUCAGAGCAGCUGGAGAGCAGGGUCAGAACACCUGCCAGGGUUCCUGCCUCUCUCUGAGGUUCAGGACCUCGGUCCAUUUGGGCUCAGGGCCCCUGGGAGCUGUGGGCACCCACACCUGGAUGGCUCUGGGCAGGGCAGUGUCCUGUGAGAUGUCACAUGGAGAUCCCAGCCUGCCUGCAGAGGCUCUGGUGUGACACAUUCUGCCACUGCAUCUCACGUGGGGUGGGCAAGGGGGACAUCCCUGGCAUCUGCUGUCCUUGCAGCACAGCCCAGGGAGGGAGGUACUGCUGGGCUGAGCUCUGCAGAGGAUUUACACACUCAGGGACAGCCCAGGUGGGCUCUGCCUCACCCACAGCGCAGUGACAAUGAUGUACGUGCUGCACUCACCCUGCAGGCCAUGAAGAUGGCCUGGGUAGCAUUUGGCAAUUCACAGGGCUGACAGUGAGUGCUCAAUAAAAGAGACAUCAGCACAAAAUACAAUUUGGAAAUUACAUCUGUGCCUUCAAAUGGACACAUGGAUUGCUUGGGAGCUCUGGAGCCAAGCACGCAGGAGUGUGUGCACGUUGCUUUUUGCCCAAGAUUGCUCUGAAGGUCCUGUUCCAACACGUCCCACAAUUACCUUCUCAGAGAACUAAUAGGAGCACUAGAUAAGUAUCCGAAUUGCAACACUUUGUGCUCAUAAAAUUAAAGCUUAUUAUGCUGAUUAAUGACUAAUGAGAUGCAUGCAAAUAAAAAGUGCAAAGUUCUCCUCGUUCCUCAGUAUUGCUGCUGCCCCACUUUGAGCCUGCCCUAAGCUUUGACAUCUGACACUACAAUGUUUGUAUUUUUUACUCCUGCUUUGCAAUGGUUUGAGUUUUCCAGCUCUGUUCCUCCAUGUAAGCCUGUUUUCCCAGUAAGCAAGUGCCAGUGAUAACCCAGGUGCAGAUUUUAUAAAAUAAAACAUAUAAAGGAAAGAAUCCUUAAAACUGGCUUUUUCUUCUGGGGUCUGGUAAGAAACCAUCUCAUUUUAGUCUGUUUUUUGUCUGUGAUGAGUGCUAAUGCCAUG